GAUGAACGCUGGCGGCGUGCCUAAUACAUGCAAGUCGAGCGAACAGACGAGGAGCUUGCUCCUCUGACGUUAGCGGCGGACGGGUGAGUAACACGUGGAUAACCUACCUAUAAGACUGGGAUAACUUCGGGAAACCGGAGCUAAUACCGGAUAAUAUAUUGAACCGCAUGGUUCAAUAGUGAAAGACGGUUUUGCUGUCACUUAUAGAUGGAUCCGCGCCGCAUUAGUUAGUUGGUAAGGUAACGGCUUACCAAGGCAACGAUGCGUAGCCGACCUGAGAGGGUGAUCGGCCACACUGGAACUGAGACACGGUCCAGACUCCUACGGGAGGCAGCAGUAGGGAAUCUUCCGCAAUGGGCGAAAGCCUGACGGAGCAACGCCGCGUGAGUGAUGAAGGUCUUCGGAUCGUAAAACUCUGUUAUUAGGGAAGAACAAAUGUGUAAGUAACUAUGCACGUCUUGACGGUACAUAAUCAGAAAGCCACGGCUAACUACGUG
rnacentral:rRNA from 1 species